CAGUAGCCGCGGUAAUACGGAGGGUGCAAGCGUUAAUCGGAAUUACUGGGCGUAAAGCGCACGCAGGCGGUUUGUUAAGUCAGAUGUGAAAUCCCCGAGCUUAACUUGGGAACUGCAUUUGAAACUGGCAAGCUAGAGUCGUGUAGAGGAUAGUGGAAUUUCCGGUGUAGCAGUGAAAUGCGUAGAGAUCGGAAGGAACAUCUGUGGCGAAGGCGGCCAUCUGGGACAACACUGACGCUGAAGCACGAAAGCGUGGGGAGCAAACAGGAUUAGAUACCCCGGUAGUCCCUGUCUCUUAUAC
rnacentral:rRNA from 1 species